rnacentral:rRNA from 1 species
UACGAAGGGGGCUAGCGUUGCUCGGAAUCACUGGGCGUAAAGGGUGCGUAGGCGGGUUUUUAAGUCCGGGGUGAAAUCCUGGAGCUCAACUCCAGAACUGCCUUUGAUACUGAGGAUCUUGAGUUCGGGAGAGGUGAGUGGAACUGCGAGUGUAGAGGUGAAAUUCGUAGAUAUUCGCAAGAACACCAGUGGCGAAGGCGGCUCACUGGCCCGGUACUGACGCUGAGGUGCGAAAGCGUGGGGAGCAAACAGG